rnacentral:rRNA from 1 species
UACGAAGGGUGCAAGCGUUGCUCGGAAUUAUUGGGCGUAAAGCGCACGUAGGCGGCUUUGCAAGUCGGAUGUGAAAUCCCUCGGCUUAACCAAGGAAGUGCAUCCGAAACUGCAGAGCUUGAGUACUUAAGAGGAUCGCGGAAUUCCCGGUGUAGAGGUGAAAUUCGUAGAUAUCGGGAGGAACACCAGUGGCGAAGGCGGCUAGCUGGGAAGAUACUGACGCUGAGGUGCGAAAGCGUGGGGAGCAAACAGG